rnacentral:rRNA from 1 species
AAUCAACGCUGGCGGCGUGCCUCAGACAUGCAAGUCGAACGAUUAAAGCUCUCUUCGGAGAGUGCAUAGAGUGGCGCACGGGUGAGUAACACGUAAGUAAUCUACCUUCGAGUGGGGAAUAACGUCCGGAAACGGGCGCUAAUACCGCAUAAUGCAGCGGCAUCGCAAGAUGACAGUUGUUAAAGGAGCAAUCCGCUUGAAGAGGAGCUUGCGGCAGAUUAGCUAGUUGGUAGGGUAAUGGCCUACCAAGGCUACGAUCUGUAACCGGUCUUAGAGGACGGUCGGUCACACUGACACUGAAUAACGGGUCAGACUCCUACGGGAGGCAGCAGUCGGGAAUUUUGGGCAAUGGGGGAAACCCUGACCCAGCAACGCCGCGUGAAGGAUGAAGUAUUUCGGUAUGUAAACUUCGAAAGAAUAGGAAGAAUUAAUGACGGUACUAUUUAUAAGGUCCGGCUAACUACGUG